GUGUCAGCCGCCGCGGUAAUACGAGAGGCCCAAACGUUAUUCGGAAUUACUGGGCUUAAAGAGUUCGUAGGCGGCGCAGAAAGUAGGGUGUGAAAGCCCUCGGCUCAACCGAGGAAUUGCGCUCUAAACUACUGUGCUUGAGGAAGCUAGAGGUGAGCGGAACUGAUGGUGGAGCGGUGAAAUGCGUUGAUAUCAUCAGGAACACCGGAGGCGAAGGCGGCUCACUGGGGCUUUUCUGACGCUGAGGAACGAAAGCCAGGGGAGCGAACGGGAUUAGAAACCCUCGUAGUCC
rnacentral:rRNA from 1 species